rnacentral:rRNA from 1 species
UGAGUAACGCGUGAGGAACCUGCCUUCCAGAGGGGGACAACAGUUGGAAACGACUGCUAAUACCGCAUGACACAUUUGAAUCGCAUGGUUUGAAUGUCAAAGAUUUAUCGCUGGAAGAUGGCCUCGCGUCUGAUUAGCUAGUAGGCGGGGUAACGGCCCACCUAGGCGACGAUCAGUAGCCGGACUGAGAGGUUGACCGGCCACAUUGGGACUGAGAUACGGCCCAGACUCCUACGGGAGGCAGCAG